rnacentral:rRNA from 1 species
AUUGAACGCUGGCGGCAUGCCUAACACAUGCAAGUCGAACGAGGGUAGCAAUACCUUAGUGGCGGACGGGUGAGGAAUACGUAGGAAUUUGCCCUUAAGUGGGGGAUAGCCCGGGGAAACCCGGAUUAAUACCGCAUGAACUCGAGAGAGCAAAGUCGGGGACCUUCGGGCCUGGCGCUUUUGGAGAAGCCUACGUCGGAUUAGCUAGUUGGUGAGGUAAUGGCUCACCAAGGCUGCGAUCCGUAACUGGUCUGAGAGGAUGAUCAGUCACACCGGAACUGAGACACGGUCCGGACUCCUACGGGAGGCAGCAGUGGGGAAUAUUGGACAAUGGGCGAAAGCCUGAUCCAGCAAUGCCGCGUGUGUGUAGAAGGCCUUCGGGUUGUAAAGCACUUUCAGUAGGGAGGAAGGACUUAAUUCUAAUACAAUUAAGUAUUGACGUUACCUACAGAAGAAGCACCGGCUAACUCUGUGCCAGCAGCCGCCGUAAAAC